AGGAAGGAGAAGUCGUAACAAGGUUUCCGUAGGUGAACCUGCGGAAGGAUCAUUGUCGAGACCCGAAAAAAAUAUGGAGAGAUUUGAAAAACCCGUUAAAUGUGCCAACGACCGUCCCGGUCGUCGCCCCUGAAGCUCUUUUGAGGUGAAGGGGCACGGCGGAGGACGGAUGAACAACAAACCGGCGCAGCAACGCGUCAAGGGAAGAUUUAAAAUGCGCGAGCCCCGCGUCGGGCUCGCCGAUGUGGAUUGCUGGUGCACGCCAUGCGGAUAGACACGACUCUCGACAAUGGAUAUCUUGGCUCUUGCAUCGAUGAAGAGCGCAGCGAAAUGCGAUAUGUGGUGCGAAUUGCAGAAUCCCGCGAACCAUCGAGUCUUUGAACGCAAGUUGCGCCCGAGGCCAGCCGGCCAAGGGCGCGUCCGCCUGGGCGUCAAGCGUUGCGUCGCUCCGUGCUAGCCGUCCCUCUUAGGGGCAUGUCGGGCGAGGCUCGGAUGUGUAGGGUGGUUCGUCGUGCCCGUUGGUGCGGCGGGCUUAAGAGUGGGUUUUGUCUCAAUGGCCGCGAACAACAAGGGGUGGGUGCAAGCUCUGAGCGCAGCCUGCGUUGUCUCGUGUUGGCGCGAGAGAUGGAUUGUGCCUUUGAUGUGAUCCCCGACCAUGCGCCGCUUGGCAUGCGAUGGCUUGGAAUGCGACCCCAGGAUGGGCGAGGCCACCCGCCGAAUUUAAGCAUAUCAAUA
rnacentral:rRNA from 1 species